AUCUGGCCAUGGUGGAAUACCGGUGAUGACGUCUGUUGCUUGGAUCUGCUCACUACCUAGAAAGGCUUGACUGUUCAAUUAGGGUUUCAAUGUUUGGAAGCUUCCCUGAUUUGGGGAGGGUUUCCUAGCGGUUCUGCCCCUGUGCGACGGCCAUUCCAGCUCAAGGAGCCAGAACGAGCUGGGCAUCGGAUCGAGAGGCGUCUCCAGUGAAUAGCCGCAGUGGUCUGUGAGAGCUAGAGUAGAAGAAAGGGCCGGGGAUGCGUGCAAGAUAAAGGAGUUGAAGGGGGGUGUUUUAUCACAUUGGGGCGCCAAACCCAAAAAGGCACAACUAUCUUAACUAACC
rnacentral:sRNA from 2 species